GGGGUUGUGGCUCAGUGGUAGAGCGCUUGCCUAACACGUGAGACAAUGUGUUCAAUCCCCAGCACCACA
rnacentral:tRNA from 1 species